CGUGUAGGCGGUUAUGUAAGUCUGGUGUGAAAUAUCUCGGCUUAACCGAGAAGAUGCGCUGGAAACUGUAUAACGAGAGUGAUGGAGGGGGAGCUGGAAUUCCAGGUGUAGGGGUGAAAUCUGUAGAUAUCUGGAAGAACACCGGUGGCGAAGGCGAGCUCCUGGCCAUAUACUGACGCUGAGGCGCGAAAGCGUGGGGAGCGAACAGGAUUAGAUACCCUGGUAGUCC
rnacentral:rRNA from 1 species